rnacentral:lncRNA from 1 species
GUAGGAGGAAAGAGAGUAGGAGAGGGAGAAUGAGAAAAGGUAGAAGAAGGAGGAGAAGAGAGUGUAGGAUCAAGAAGAAGACAGAAAGGUGAAAGGAGGAUAAGAGAGUGUAGGAUCAAGAAGAAGACAGAAAGGUGAAAGGAGGAGAAGAGAGUGUAGGAUCAAGAAGAAGACAGAAAGGUGAAAGGAGGAGAAGAGACUGUAGGAUCAAGAAGAAGACAGAAAGGUGAAAGGAGGAGAAGAGAGUGUAGGAUCAAGAAGAAGACAGAAAGGUGAAAGGAGGAGAAGAGAGUGUAGGAUCAAGAAGAAAGAAAGGUGAAAGGAGGAGAAGAGUGUGUAGGAUCAAGAAGAAAGAAAGGUGAAAGGAGGAGAAAAGGAAGAAAGAGAGGAGAGAUGUGCAGUACCAGUGAUGUCAUCAAGCAGAGGAAUGCUUUCUCACAGGGGUGGACCCCCAGAGGGUACAUGGACAGGACCAAGUGUGCACGUCCGCCUGCCU